UACGUAGGGUGCGAGCGUUAAUCGGAAUUACUGGGCGUAAAGCGUGCGCAGGCGGUUGGUUAAGUCAGACGUGAAAGCCCCGGGCUCAACCUGGGAAUGGCGUUUGAAACUGGCUGGCUUGAGUGCGGCAGAGGGGGGUGGAAUUCCACGUGUAGCAGUGAAAUGCGUAGAUAUGUGGAGGAACACCGAUGGCGAAGGCAGCCCCCUGGGCCGACACUGACGCUCAUGCACGAAAGCGUGGGGAGCAAACAGG
rnacentral:rRNA from 1 species